rnacentral:rRNA from 1 species
GAUGAACGCUGGCGGCGUGCCUAAUACAUGCAAGUCGAGCGAACGGACGAGAAGCUUGCUUCUCUGAUGUUAGCGGCGGACGGGUGAGUAACACGUGGAUAACCUACCUAUAAGACUGGGAUAACUUCGGGAAACCGGAGCUAAUACCGGAUGAUAUUUUGAACCGCAUGGUUCAAAAGUGAAAGACGGUCUUGCUGUCACUUAUAGAUGGAUCCGCGCUGCAUUAGCUAGUUGGUAAGGUAACGGCUUACCAAGGCAACGAUGCAUAGCCGACCUGAGAGGGUGAACGGCCACACUGGAACUGAGACACGGUCCAGACUCCUACGGGAGGCAGCAGUAGGGAAUCUUCCGCAAUGGGCGAAAGCCUGACGGAGCAACGCCGCGUGAGUGAUGAAGGUCUUCGGAUCGUAAAACUCUGUUAUUAGGGAAGAACAUAUGUGUAAGUAACUGUGCACAUCUUGACGGUACCUAAUCAGAAAGCCACGGCUAACUACGUG